rnacentral:precursor_RNA from 1 species
AGGCCUCCAGACACACCGCAGCCAGUUCCUGAGGGCUUUUGUGUGUCAGGGUGCAGGU